UACGGAGGGUGCGAGCGUUGUCCGGAAUCAUUGGGCGUAAAGGGCGCGUAGGUGGCGCGGCAAGCGUGCGGUGAAAGCUCGGGGCUCAACCCCGAGUCGGCCGUGCGAACUGCUGGGCUUGAGCACUGUAGAGGCAGGCGGAAUUCCGGGUGUAGCGGUGGAAUGCGUAGAGAUCCGGAAGAACACCAGUGGCGAAGGCGGCUUACUGGCCCGGUACUGACGCUGAGGUGCGAAAGCGUGGGGAGCAAACAGG
rnacentral:rRNA from 1 species